UUCUCCGGUCCUAAUUUCUUUAUCUUGCACUUUCUCUGUCUUGGCGAUCAGCACAGAAAGAGCAGUUACAACCUGUAAACUAGGGUUUUAUGCAUUGUACAUCAUUAUUUAUUCAUAAAACAACGUUAAUUACUCAAAUUCAUUAGUUAAUCAGCUUCCGCGGCGUGUUUGGCCAAUUUGAAUAGUAAAAUAUCCAAAUGGCCAUUCCGCCACGGAUCACUGAUUAAGCAUUGGGGAAAAGGAAGGUCCAUUGUUUCCAAAUGAAGCACGGAAAUGAAUUCCUCCGCAGUUCAGUUACUACUCGCUCCCAACAAUACAUCUCCCCAAUAUACCCAAACCCCCAUUCUCAUAUACCCAAACCCCCAUUUUCAUCUACCAAAUCCCCAUUCUCAUAUAACCAAACCCCCAUUCUCAUAUAUCCAAACCCCCAUUCUCAUAUACCAAACCCCCAUUCUCAAAUACCCGACAACCCCGCCGAGUCGCCUGUGCCACACACACAAGCCAAUCUAUAAUCGAUUAAGCAAACAAACCGGCAAUGGAUAUGGAAAAGCGAUAGGUGGACUAGCAUGGUCAAGCGACAAUGAACGCAGAGAAUAACCCGGAACUGAUGCCACAGGUCUGGUCCCCGGGAGAAACUUCCACCCAAUAACUCGCUUCGUAAGACGUUCAGAAGCUGCUACCGAAACAAAAAACAGCCAUACCGACAGGUUCCCAUGCAGGCACAACAACUGUUUGACAACGUUUGAGACGUUAAGCGAGUGGCGAGAGAAAAGAUGAACAGAGAAGUAAAUCCCCAAAGCACCCCCCGGAAGGACCAGAAAAGGGCAACAGUUCC
rnacentral:lncRNA from 1 species